GAUGAUCGCUGGCGGCGUGCCUAAUACAUGCAAGUCGAGCGAACGGACGAGAAGCUUGCUUCUCUGAUGUUAGCGGCGGACGGGUGAGUAACACGUGGAUAACCUACCUAUAAGACUGGGAUAACUUCGGGAAACCGUAGCUAAUACCGGAUAAUAUUUUGAACCGCAUGGUUCAAAAGUGAAAGACGGUCUUGCUGUCACUUAUAGAUGGAUCCGCGCUGCAUUAGCUAGUUGGUAAGGUAACGGCUUACCAAGGCAACGAUGCAUAGCCGACCUGAGAGGGUGAUCGGCCACACUGGAACUGAGACACGGUCCAGACUCCUACGGGAGGCAGCAGUAGGGAAUCUUCCGCAAUGGGCGAAAGCCUGACGGAGCAACGCCGCGUGAGUGAUGAAGGUCCUCGGAUCGUAAAACUCUGUUAUUAGGGAAGAACAUAUGUGUAAGUAACUGUGCACAUCUUGACGGUACCUAAUCAGAAAGCCACGGCUAACUACGUG
rnacentral:rRNA from 1 species